rnacentral:misc_RNA from 1 species
GAUGAAGAACGUAGCGAAAUGCGAUAAGUAAUGUGAAUUGCAGAAUUCAGUGAAUCAUCGAAUCUUUGAACGCACCUUGCGCUCCUUGGUAUUCCGAGGAGCAUGCCUGUUUGAGUGUCAUGAAAUUCUCAAACCCAUAAGUCUUUGCGGGCUUACGGGCUUUGGACUUGGAGGCUUGUCGGCGACCGUAAAGUCACAUUGACUCCUCUCAAAUGCAUUAGCUUGAUUCCUUGCGGAUCGGCUCUCGGUGUGAUAAUUGUCUACGCCGUGACCGUGAAGCGUUUUGGCAAGCUUCUAACCGUCUCUAACGAGACAGCUUACUUUGACCUCUGACCUCAAAUCAGGUAGGACUACCCGCUGAACUUAAGCAUAUCAAUAAGCGGAGGA